rnacentral:snRNA from 1 species
UUUAGAGUUCAACUUUUUUGUUU